UUAUUUUAUCAUCAUUUCUUCUUGCAGCUCCUCAGUUGGAAAGGAUGAAUCCUCUUCCCCAGGAAAUAAAUUCCAGAGACUCAGUGAACCUGAUCCAUAUUGGAACAGGUCAAAAAGUAUCAACUGAAGGGUAGAGAAGCUUUUGAGGUCAGGAAGAAGUCAUCAGCAGCCAGAUCUAAGCCUAAUGUGUACUGAGGAGCCAAGCAGUGAGAAAUCUCAGGAAGAUGCUCAGGCAUCCCAUGGACUGGUCUGCAGCCACAUGUGUAACACUCAAUGUAGAUCCAUCUGAUCCUAACAUUGAUGCAAAAUUAGUGACUAAAAGGAGAAGACAGAAAGUAGACAAUGAUUUUGGCUCAGUGACCUGGAACACUGGCUGUCAGCUCAUGAGGAGAGAUUUUGGCUUUUCUUCACAGAAGUCUGAUGUCCACGAGCAGAGGAAAGUACUCCCAGUGACAAGCACUCAGGAUGGAAGGAUGCAAGAAUGACUUCAGCCUGACAUCCAAAGGGAAGAGAAAACAGAGUAAGCCCCAAGAGAGGAAGGCAAGUGCUUCCUUUCUGGCUUGAACAUGAGAUUUAAUGAGGUAAAUGUGACUAAGACUAAGGAUGUUUCAUU
rnacentral:lncRNA from 14 species